rnacentral:rRNA from 1 species
UAACUCACGAUUGAAAAGCCCGGGGGUUCAACCCUGGGAACAGCAUUUAAAAUCGGCCAAUAGACUCCCUAGAGGGGGGGUAGACAUCUCAGGCGAAGCGGUGAAAAGCGAGAAGAUCAGAAAGGAAAUAACGGGGGGAAAGGGCGCCCCCCUGGACAAGAUAGACACUCAGAUGGAAAAGCGUGGGGGAGCAAACAGGAUUAGAUACCCUGGUAGUCCACGCCGUAAACGAUGUUAUUGGGAGGUUUGGGGUCUUGAGCCGUGGCUUUUGAAGUAACGCGUUAAGUAGACCGCCUGGGGAGUACGGUCGCAAGAUUAAAACUCAAAUGAAUUGACGGGGGCCCGCACAAGCGGUGGAGCAUGUGGUUUAAUUCGAUGCAACGCGAAGAACCUUACCUACUCUUGACAUCCAGAGAACUUUUCAGAGAUGGAUUGGUGCCUUCGGGAACUCUGAGACAGGUGCUGCAUGGCUGUCGUCAGCUCGUGUUGUGAAAUGUUGGGUUAAGUCCCGCAACGAGCGCAACCCUUAUCCUUGUUUGCCAGCGAGUAAUGUCGGGAACUCCAGGGAGACUGCCGGUGAUAAACCGGAGGAAGGUGGGGACGACGUCAAGUCAUCAUGGCCCUUACGAGUAGGGCUACACACGUGCUACAAUGGCGCAUACAGAGGGCGGCCAACUUGCGAAAGUGAGCGAAUCCCAAAAAGUGGGUCGUAGUCCGGAUUGGAGUCUGCAACUCGACUCCAUGAAGUCGGAAUCGCUAGUAAUCGUGGAUCAGAAUGCCACGGUGAAUACGUUCCCGGGCCUUGUACACACCGCCCGUCACACCAUGGGAGUGGGCUGCAAAAGAAGUAGGUAGAUAACGUAACAGAGUAACCAUGCUAGACGUUGAUCG